rnacentral:rRNA from 1 species
CCUACGGGAGGCAGCAGUGAGGAAUAUUGGUCAAUGGACGCAAGUCUGAACCAGCCAUGCCGCGUGCAGGAAGACGGCUCUAUGAGUUGUAAACUGCUUUUGUACGAGGGUAAACGCAGAUACGCGUAUCUGUCUGAAAGUAUCGUACGAAUAAGGAUCGGCUAACUCCGUGCCAGCAGCCGCGGUAAUACGGAGGAUUCAAGCGUUAUCCGGAUUUAUUGGGUUUAAAGGGUGCGUAGGCGGACGGAUAAGUUAGAGGUGAAAUCCCGGGGCUCAACGUCGGAAUUGCCUCUGAUACUGUUCGGCGAGAGAGUAGUUGCGGUAGGCGGAAUGUACGGUGUAGCGGUGAAAUGCUUAGAGAUCAUACAGAACACCGAUUGCGAAGGCAGCUUACCAAGCUACUUCUGACGUUGAGGCACGAAAGCGUGGGGAGCAAACAGGAUUAGAUACCCUUGUAGUC